rnacentral:rRNA from 1 species
UACGUAGGUGGCGAGCGUUGUCCGGAAUUACUGGGCGUAAAGGGUGCGUAGGCGGGUAAUUAAGUGGGAUGUGAAAUUCCGGGGCUCAACCUCGGAACUGCAUUCCAAACUGGUUGCCCAGAGUGCAGGAGAGGAAAGCGGAAUUCCUAGUGUAGCGGUGAAAUGCGUAGAUAUUAGGAAGAACACCAGUGGCGAAGGCGGCUUUCUGGACUGUAACUGACGCUGAGGCACGAAAGCGUGGGGAGCGAACAGG